UACGUAGGGCGCGAGCGUUGUCCGGAUUUAUUGGGCGUAAAGAGCGUGUAGGCGGCUAGGUAGGUCCGUUGUGAAAACUCGAGGCUCAACCUCGAGACGUCGAUGGAAACCAUCUAGCUAGAGUCCAGAAGAGGAGAGUGGAAUUCCUGGUGUAGCGGUGAAAUGCGCAGAUAUCAGGAAGAACACCCGUGGCGAAGGCGGCUCUCUGGUACGUGACUGACGCUGAGACGCGAAAGCGUGGGGAGCAAACAGG
rnacentral:rRNA from 1 species